rnacentral:rRNA from 1 species
UACGGGAGGCAGCAGUGAGGAAUAUUGGACAAUGGGCGAGAGCCUGAUCCAGCCAUGCCGCGUGCAGGAAGACUGCCCUAUGGGUUGUAAACUGCUUUUAUACAGGAAGAAACCCACCUACGUGUAGGUGGCUGACGGUACUGUAAGAAUAAGGAUCGGCUAACUCCGUGCCAGCAGCCGCGGUAAUACGGAGGAUCCAAGCGUUAUCCGGAAUCAUUGGGUUUAAAGGGUCCGUAGGUGGAUAAUUAAGUCAGAGGUGAAAUCCUGCAGCUCAACUGUAGAAUUGCCUUUGAUACUGGUUGUCUUGAAUUAUUGUGAAGUGGUUAGAAUAUGUAGUGUAGCGGUGAAAUGCAUAGAUAUUACAUAGAAUACCAAUUGCGAAGGCAGAUCACUAACAAUAUAUUGACACUGAUGGACGAAAGCGUGGGGAGCGAACAGGAUUAG